rnacentral:tRNA from 1 species
GGAGGAGUGGCCGAGUGGUCGAUGGCGGCGGUCUUGAAAACCGCAGGGCUCGAGAGGGUCUCGGGGGUUCGAAUCCCUCCUCCUCCGCCA